rnacentral:SRP_RNA from 1 species
GCCGGGCGUGGUGGCUCAAGCCUGUAAUCCCAGCACUUUGGGAGGCCGAGACGGGCGGAUCACGAGGUCAGGAGAUCGAGACCAUCCUGGCUAACACGGUGAANUUCACCGUGUUAGCCAGGAUGGUCUCGAUCUCCUGACCUCGUGAUCCGCCCGUCUCGG